rnacentral:tRNA from 1 species
GAGUGAGAAACAAUUGAACUGCUAAUUCAAUACCCCAGAACUAACCUGCUGGCCCACUCA